rnacentral:rRNA from 1 species
UACGUAGGGUGCAAGCGUUAAUCGGAAUUACUGGGCGUAAAGCGUGCGCAGGCGGUUUUGUAAGUCUGACGUGAAAUCCCCGGGCUUAACCUGGGAAUUGCGUUGGAGACUGCAAGGCUAGAAUCUGGCAGAGGGGGGUAGAAUUCCACGUGUAGCAGUGAAAUGCGUAGAGAUGUGGAGGAACACCGAUGGCGAAGGCAGCCCCCUGGGCCUGCACUGACGCUCAUGCACGAAAGCGUGGGGAGCAAACAGG